rnacentral:rRNA from 1 species
GCAUAUCAAUAAGCGGAGGAAAAGAAACAAAGGGGGCAUUACCUUAGUACGGCGAGUGAAGCGGUAAAAGCUCAAAUUUGAAAUCUGGUACUUUCAGUGCCCGAGUUGUAAUUUGUAGAAUUUGUCUUUGAUUAGGUCCUUGUCUAUGUUCCUUGGAACAGGACGUCAUAGAGGGUGAGAAUCCCGUUUGGCGAGGAUACCUUUUCUCUGUAAGACUUUUUCGAAGAGUCGAGUUGUUUGGGAAUGCAGCUCAAAGUGGGUGGUAAAUUCCAUCUAAAGCUAAAUAUUGGCGAGAGACCGAUAGCGAACAAGUACAGUGAUGGAAAGAUGAAAAGAACUUUGAAAAGAGAGUGAAAAAGUACGUGAAAUUGUUGAAAGGGAAGGGCAUUUGAUCAGACAUGGUGUUUUUUGCAUGCACUCGCCUCUCGUGGGCUUGGGCCUCUCAAAAAUUUCACUGGGCCAACAUCAAUUCUGGCAGCAGGAUAAAUCAUUAAGAAUGUAGCUACUUCGGUAGUGUUAUAGCUUUUUGGAAUACUGUUAGCCGGGAUUGAGGACUGCGCUUCGGCAAGGAUGUUGGCAUAAUGGUUAAAUGCCGCCCGUCUUGAAACACGGACC